CCUACGGGUGGCAGCAGUAGGGAAUCUUCCACAAUGGGCGAAAGCCUGAUGGAGCAACGCCGCGUGGGUGAAGAAGGUCUUCGGAUCGUAAAACCCUGUUGUUAGAGAAGAAAGUGCGUGAGAGUAACUGCUCACGUUUCGACGGUAUCUAACCAGAAAGCCACGGCUAACUACGUGCCAGUAGCCGCGGUAAUACGUAGGUGGCAAGCGUUAUCCGGAUUUAUUGGGCGUAAAGGGAACGCAGGCGGUCUUUUAAGUCUGAUGUGAAAGCCUUCGGCUUAACCGGAGUAGUGCAUUGGAAACUGGGAGACUUGAGUGCAGAAGAGGAGAGUGGAACUCCAUGUGUAGCGGUGAAAUGCGUAGAUAUAUGGAAGAACACCAGUGGCGAAAGCGGCUCUCUGGGCUGUAACUGACGCUGAGGUUCGAAAGCGUGGGUAGCAAACAGGAUUAGAUACCCCUGUAGUC
rnacentral:rRNA from 1 species